CCUACGGGUUGCAGCAGUGGGGAAUUUUCCGCAAUGGGCGAAAGCCUGACGGAGCAACGCCGCGUGAGGGAUGAAGGCCUCUGGGCUGUAAACCUCUUUUAUCAAGGAAGAAGAUCUGACGGUACUUGAUGAAUAAGCCACGGCUAAUUCCGUGCCAGCAGCCGCGGUAAUACGGGAGUGGCAAGCGUUAUCCGGAAUUAUUGGGCGUAAAGCGUCCGCAGGCGGUCCAGAAAGUCUGCUGUUAAAAAGUGGAGCUUAACUCCAUCAUGGCAGUGGAAACUUCUGGACUAGAGUGUGGUAGGGGCAGAGGGAAUUCCCGGUGUAGCGGUGAAAUGCGUAGAUAUCGGGAAGAACACCAGUGGCGAAGGCGCUCUGCUGGGCCAUAACUGACGCUCAUGGACGAAAGCCAGGGGAGCGAAAGGGAUUAGAUACCCGAGUAGUC
rnacentral:rRNA from 1 species